GCACUGUUGGCUCAGUGGUAGAAUUCUUGCCUUCCAUGUGGGACUCCAGGGUUCAAUUCCUGGCCAGUGCA
rnacentral:tRNA from 1 species